ACGGGAGGCAGCAGUGGGGAAUAUUGCACAAUGGGCGAAAGCCUGAUGCAGCGACGCCGCGUGAGUGAAGAAGUAUCUCGGUAUGUAAAGCUCUAUCAGCAGGGAAGAAAAUGACGGUACCUGACUAAGAAGCCCCGGCUAACUACGUGCCAGCAGCCGCGGUAAUACGUAGGGGGCAAGCGUUAUCCGGAUUUACUGGGUGUAAAGGGAGCGUAGACGGCAAGACAAGUCUGAAGUGAAAGGCAUGGGCUCAACCUGUGGACUGCUUUGGAAACUGCCUUGCUUGAGUGCCGGAGGGGUAAGCGGAAUUCCUAGUGUAGCGGUGAAAUGCGUAGAUAUUAGGAGGAACACCAGUGGCGAAGGCGGCUUACUGGACGGUAACUGACGUUGAGGCUCGAAAGCGUGGGGAGCAAACAGGAUUAGAUACCCUGGUA
rnacentral:rRNA from 1 species